AUUGAACGCUGGCGGCAUGCCUUACACAUGCAAGUCGAACGGUAACGGGCCUUCGGGUGCCGACGAGUGGCGAACGGGUGAGUAAUGCAUCGGAACGUACCCAUCAGUGGGGGAUAACUCUCCGAAAGGAGGGCUAAUACCGCAUAUUCUGUGCGCAGGAAAGCGGGGGACCGCAAGGCCUCGCGCGAUUGGAGCGGCCGAUAUCAGAUUAGGUAGUUGGUGAGGUAAAGGCUCACCAAGCCGACGAUCUGUAGCUGGUCUGAGAGGACGACCAGCCACACUGGGACUGAGACACGGCCCAGACUCCUACGGGAGGCAGCAGUGGGGAAUUUUGGACAAUGGGCGCAAGCCUGAUCCAGCCAUGCCGCGUGCGGGAAGAAGGCCUUCGGGUUGUAAACCGCUUUUGUCAGGGAAGAAAAGGUUCUGGCUAAUACCUGGGACUCAUGACGGUACCUGAAGAAUAAGCACCGGCUAACUACGUGCCAGCAGCCGCCGUAA
rnacentral:rRNA from 1 species